rnacentral:rRNA from 1 species
UACGUAGGGUGCGAGCGUUAAUCGGAAUUACUGGGCGUAAAGCGUGCGCAGGCGGUUUGGUAAGACAGACGUGAAAUCCCCGGGCUUAACCUGGGAACUGCGUUUGUGACUGCCAGACUAGAGUGUAGCAGAGGGGGGUAGAAUUCCACGUGUAGCAGUGAAAUGCGUAGAGAUGUGGAGGAAUACCGAUGGCGAAGGCAGCCCCCUGGGCUAACACUGACGCUCAUGCACGAAAGCGUGGGGAGCAAACAGG